UUUCGAGGGUCGGGUCUUGGGCCCCCGCGGGCGGGCAGUGCUGCGGUGCGGGGGGCGGGCGGGCAGGCUGGAGAGGAGCAGCCCGGGCCGGGUGGGGAGCCCAUACCGAAGCACGGACCAGACGCUUUGUUAGCUGGAGGCCCGGACUGCCUGAUCCGGGAGGUGGAGCCUGGUUCUGGACUCUUGUACGUAGUUUCGUUUCUGGCCAUUUUUUCUACCGCCAAAUGGUGAGUUAGGGCUGUGGAUCUUGAGAGAUGGCGUCGUGUAAAGGAAAGAGCCUACUUUGACUAAGUCUUGGGUCAGACUUCCUGAACCUGAGCUUACACCUGUGUAACAUAAAGGAGUUCGACUAAGUGAAGUCUGAGAUCACUACAACUCUGAAGUUUCCAAAGGGGAGAAGACAGGAGAAGGAAGCAGAAUCUGUGCCAGACUCUGCAGACGAUUCAGUGAAUGACCCCGAUUUAGUCCUUCCACCCCUCACCUACUCAGCUUUUUAUCUGUGAAAGUUGAAACCCUAAGGAGUAAGGGAUAGACACUGCCAGGAAGACUUCGGAAUUCAAAAACAGGGAGCUUGUGGCUUGGGCCCUGUUUCCCACCUGGAACUUUGCCCAACACAGGCAACUACAAUCAAGUAGAAAUGGCAACAUAAUAUGUUUAAGCAGAUGGCCAGGCAGCAUUGAUAACCACUCCCACUCCUGCAUGUUCCUUGACUACACUGAACUGAAAAGGAGGUACAGAAUUCCUUAAGAGAGUUACCAAAGAGCAAGGUGACCAGCAGCCAACUAAGAUUGUAAGAGACUUGUAUAGACAAAAAAUACCAAGUCUUGCAAACAAAGACCUAUGAUUGCUUAAUUCCAAUACCCUCUUACGUAUGGGCAAGGGAUCAGGGAGCACCUUCCAGAGCACAAACUCAAGACAUAUUAACUGGACUUCCCUGGUGGCGCAGUAGUUAAGAAUCCGCCUGCCAAUGCAGGAGGCACGGGUUCGAGCCCUGGUCCAGGAAGAUCCCACAUGCUGUGGGGCAACUAAGCCCAUGCACCACAACUACUGAGCCUGCGCUCUAGAGCCCACAAGCCACAACUACUGAGCCCACACGCCACAACUACUGAAGCCUGCUCACCUAGAGCCCCUGCUCUGCAACAAGAGAAGCCACCGCAAUGAGAAGCCCGCACACCGCAAUAAAGAGUACCCCCACUCGCCUCAAGUAGAGAAAGCCUGCACGCAGCAACGAAGACCCAACACAGCCAAAAAAAAAAAAAGGACGUAUUAACUGACCAAGAACCUCAUCUACUAGCUAAUUAGAGUGCCCUUACUUUCCUUAAGUGUAUACCAAUAUGUAAUAAAAUUAUCUUUAUUGUGCUGUACCAUGAUGUGCUACAUUCAAACCUGGUUUAAGAAAUGCAUAUCACCUAGAACUCUUGGUUUCCAAGAGCAAGAUGGAAAAAUUGGAUGAGACUUUGGCAUGUCUCCUGUUGGAGAAGAGAGUAUUUCAGUUGUCCAUGGUAUAAUUACAUUGUCUUAGACUAGGGCAUUUUAAAAAUUCUGUGUACUGAAAAAAGCACAAGUAUAGGUGCCGGGUAGCCAAGGGGUAGAAUGUAGUGAAAAACACUUUUGUAUGUCCAUCUUCUCAGGAGAUUCCUAUCCUUUAUGUAAUAAAGCUGUCAAUUAUGUGACUUUUCCCCUGUCAUAAAGAUAGGUACAUGAGCCAAGCCAAUCUCCAGAGUAAUGUAUGACAAUUUUACUGAGGUUAGACCCCACUGACCAUCUUUGGCACAACAGGGAGCAAACCUACCUUACCAUAUACAGGUGUACCUUGGAGGUAUUGCAGGUUCGGUUCCAGACUACCACAAGAAAGCAAAUAUCAAUAAAGUGAGUCACGAA